GUGUACUGAACACAAUAUAUUAUAUAAUGUAAACAACUACCUGAGAAACAGCAGAUACAGCAGAUAAAUUAAUUAUAGGCCAUUACUUUUGUAUCGUUUAUUGCAUUUAUGGAGGGAGAGGUGUAUGCUGGGUAAUGGCACAGCUAGCGACCGGGUGACUUUAUUCACCCGCUUCGGCUGUUAUCAGUCCAUACAAUGGGCGUUAUUAGCAGAAAUCAGUCCCAUAGAUAUGGACCAUCCACCUGCUAGAUUGUUCAGAAGGUUGUUAUCAUCCAUCCAGAUGGAGGAUCACUGACAGGAGCGUGGAAGACUCCAGAAUCCACUCUGGCUGGAAUCCGGUGGAUACAGCAGUGUUACAGAACAGUUCUCCACAGUCGCUGUCCACAUGGGUCAGUGGGACCAAGCAGCACUCUGCUAAUGUGAGACUCUGAUCAGCAACAUCCAGCAAGACCCAGGCAGCGUUUUCUAUCUCCCAGCUGGAGUUUUUUGUUUGUCUGUGACUGGAGAGUCAGAUUUUUGUUGAAGCUGGAGGAACAGAGAGGUUAAUACACGCUACUGAUCCCUGAUGGGAGAAUCUUCACCUCUGCCAACAAAGAAGCCUGGUGGAUGUUUGUUUACAGACUGAUGAUGGGACAUCAUGCUCUGCAUCUUCACAUCUUUUUGCAGGAUCAGAAAACAAAACCAGGAUGACCGUAAAUGUUUCUUCUCCAAUUGGAUGAUGAUAAGACUGUGACACGGUAUGCCACCUUUAGUCUUGUGAUGAAGCAAAGCUCAGGAUGAAGUGUGAUUAAAUGGUACCCACAUGUGUGCUGCUGAGAAGGAUGUACAGGGGCACCUGCAGCCAAAUCCAAGCCUCCUCAGAGCAGAGCGGCCGUUUAUGCUCACAGAUGGAGACGGUGUGAAGAGACGGUGGUGUUUCCUCAGAAGAACUAGCAGAGUCACCAAGGGCACCAGUCCAUCUCACCACCUUGACUUGCUGAUCAGUGGAUACACUUGUCUCCCCUUUAAAGGAGAUACUCUUAGAGAGCAACGAUCUGAGUCAUCCCUAAAUAUGGGCAGGAUAUCAGUCUUGGACUGUCUAACCUGCCGGAGCAGCACUGAAUGACCACCACACAUGAGCAUGUUCCUGCAACAUUCAGCAGCUUUGCUUUUGUGUCAAAUGUCCAACAGCUGGAGAGGAAACUAAACCAGUACUGGGCUGUUUCACCAACACGUGCCAGAUGCUGUCCUUCAUGGUGACAUCACCAGAGACAGCCCCGCCCACCUCAGGACCUCGCCAUUGAUCAUGAUGAUUAUAAUGAUGACAGCGAGCGGAACUAAGACUGUAAAAAUCAGAAUGUUUAGAUGCUUUCUAAUUAUUAAUGAAUACUGAGAGCCUCUUUCUGUGUUUUGUCUGUUUGGGUUUUUUUUUUUUUUUACCUCAUUUGUUACUAACAAAGUUCACCAAACCCACACAUUUACAUUCUGUAUGUUUCCAUCUUUACCAGCCACACUCUGCCUGCAUUUAGAAAACAAACCUUAGAAAUCGUCGUUUUUCUCUUUUGUAAUUUUGUAAUUCAGUGAAUAUACUGCACUGUUUCCUUUUAUUGCGUCACACAUGGCUUUAAGUUUUUUCAGUGUCCAGUUAUUUUUUACUGCUGUUUGAAUUCUCUGUAUGUUUGACCCUGUAGACAGUUUGAUGGACUGCUUGUCUUCCUGUUUGUAACCGCCGCCUGUUUUUGACUAAAGAUUUGGAUUUCUGACUUUAACACAGCCUCUGCGUGUCCUCCCUUUGUGUCCUCUUCCUCUGUGAAUGUGUUGCAUGUGUCACAGAUUCAUUUUAUUAACAGCUUUCCCACAGUGAGUUGCAUCAGCAUUCAUUCACAGCACAUUUCAGAAGGAUUCAGAUUAAUACAGUGAUCUUAUAGUCAGAAUUAUCCUGACAG